GAGGGUAUAGCUCAGUGGUAUUGUGUGUGCCUCACAUGCACAAGGUCCUGGGUUCAAUCCCCAUUACCUCUG
rnacentral:tRNA from 1 species